rnacentral:rRNA from 1 species
AACCUUUACACUGCACGACAGUGCGAUAGGGGGAUCCCAAGUGCACAGGCAUAGCGCCUGUGCUUUUCUGUACUGAUGGCCGAUCUUAUUGGGCCUAAAGCGUCCGUAGCUGGCCGCGCAAGUCCAUCGGGAAAUCCACCUGCUCAACAGGUGGGCGUCCGGUAGAAACUGCGUGGCUUGGGACCGGAAGGCGCGACGGGUACGUCCGGGGUAGGAGUGAAAUCCCGUAAUCCUGGACGGACCGCCGAUGGCGAAAGCACGUCGCGAGAACGGAUCCGACAGUGAGGGACGAAAGCCAGGGUCUCGAACCGGAUUAGAUACCCGGGUAGUCCUGGCCGUAAACAAUGUCUGCUAGGUGUGGCUCCCACUACGAGUGGGUGCUGUGCCGUAGGGAAGCCGCUAA